GACGAACGCUGGCGGCGUGGAUUAGGCAUGCAAGUCGAACGGUAUCAUCCUUUCGGGGGUGAGAGAGUGGCGAACUGGUGAGUAACACGUAGGUUAUCUACCCUCAAGACGGGGACAACCCAGGGAAACUUGGGCUAAUACCGGAUGUGAGCAACUUUUAGUUGUUUGAAAGGUGGCGUAAGCUGUCGCUUGGGGAUGAGCCUGCGUCCUAUUAGUUAGUUGGUGAGGUAACGGCUCACCUAGGCAAUGAUAGGUAGGCGGCCUUAACGGGUGGUCGCCCACACUGGGAUUGAGAUACGGCCCAGACUCCUACGGGAGGCAGCAGUCGAGAAUAGUCUACAAUGGCCGGAAGGCUGAUAGUGCGACGCCGCGUGAACGAGGGAGCCCUUCGGGUGUAAAGUUCUUUUCUAUACGAGCAGUGCUAUAUAUAUGGAUAGUAUAUAUAGAGGGAUAGUAGUAUAGGAAUAAGCAACGGCUAACUCCGUGCCAGCAGCCGCGGUAAUCAUACUCG
rnacentral:rRNA from 1 species